CAUGCUCUACCAAUUGAGCUACAGAGGACCACAUUUACUGAUGGAUUACAAUUUUCAGUGUGCCAAACUCUCUAGUUUUGUGGUGGUUAACAAUAUCUCGAGUUAGAACGUAUGCGAUGGUCUAGCUCAGACAAAGAAAACAGAAAGAAAGAUAUCUGAACGUACCCCUUUGAUGAUUAGGGUGGUCGUCAAAAAUGGCUAUUCGUGCCUACUACACCAUCUGUUCCGAUUUCUUCGAUCACUCAAGAGAUGUGGCAGCCAUCCAUUGUGGACACACCUUCCACUAUGAAUGUCUUCUUCAUUGGUUUCAGACUGCUCCCAACAAGACCUGUCCACAAUGUAGAAAACAGGUUAGCACCAGACACAUUAUCAACAAGUUGUUCUUUGACAUUAGUGGUGAAGAAGAGGGAUCCUCUGCUGACCCAGAGAGUUUGCAGAAUGAGCUCAAUAGAAUGAAAGCUGUUUUAAGUACCAAAGAGAGAGACUGAAGGGACAGACUGAAGAUGGUAGAACGCUUGAAGGAGACUGUAGACGGGCAGAAGAAAGACCUGGACAUUGUGAGGAAGGAGAUUGGUGAGAAAGAGAUGCUCUGCUCAGCUCUCAGGGCUGCCAAGGAGGAGGCCCGAUGACUCCAGACGAAAAUAAAACAUGAGAGUCUGGAUGUGGUGUUGCAGGAUCAGAGAGCUGAGGUCGAGUCCAUGAUAUGGGUGUUGGCCAGGCUGCCGUGGAGCAGCUUUCAAUCUACUGCAUUUCUCUCAAGAAAGAGUAUGACAACCUAAAUGGGAGCCUCAGAUCUUCAAACGAAAUGUGAAAAAAUCAAAAGGGAGGUGUUUGCUUCAAACAACAAGGUAAUGGAUGUAAACAAAUCACAUUAAUUGAAAUGUUCUGUGAUAAUGUCGGAUGUGUCUCUCCUUCCAAUUUCAGACUGACUGUCUCUCAUAGCUCUGUAGUUACGUAAAGCCACAAUGGAGAUGAACAGGACCAAGGAUGACAUGAAAGCUGUCCAAAAUGACUUGACCAACGCAGACAGAGAUCACCCCCUGCCCCAGUGGAGCUGAAACAGCCCUGUCUCCACCAGCCUGCCGACAGUGAGGACAUUGACCUCAACAUGACCUUUGACAUCACCACCCCUGACCCGGUGGAUAAGAGGUUGUCACAGGUCCCAUCAAGAAGAUGCCUCUGGACCCAGCCGCUUGAGUCUCCCUCUACAUUGUGUCAUUGACGAGGGACAUAUGCUACUGACACUUAUUUGUUAAUAAACAGUUCUGAUGAAGUAUUGAUCAUAAUUAUCUUAUGUUCUUUGUUUCUCAGGUUGUCGUCCUCGCCGACCAAACACCAUUACAAAGCCUUGUUUGGAAGCAAGGUCAGAGAGGAGGCGGCGUCCAUGGAUACCUUCUUCCGUAACGCCAACCUGUUCAGGAAGAAGACCUUCGGCAGCAUGCUGGACCCCCAGAGGAGUAAACUGGGAGCUGUAGCUUUAACCUGACUAUUGUCUUUCCAUCACAACACUACAGUUACUGUAUGGAGAUUCUGGUCUCUUUCUUACUAUGGGCCUGUUACACAUGUUCAAACCCUCAAUUACAGUAGUCAAGUACAGUGCACUCCACCUAAAGACUUCCAUAACCAGACCCACUUAUUGCCCUUGCCUUCCUGUCUUGUUCCUGACAGCGAUAUUACUAAAUGUAUCACUAUCUCAUAUUCCAGGUCAGAAGUGGUUACGGUGGACUUGCGGGAAGGACCAAAUUCUUCCAGCCUUCUCCUUUGUCAGAGAUUCGCCCGCUCAUGAUGAAGGCCAAGAGGAGAAAAAAAUCCCGACCAGCUCCUCCCAAGAUCUCCACCUGCCUUACUCUUAACAGUUUUCUGGAGUGACCUGUCCAUCCCUUACUGAUGCAUGUGUGUCAGCUGGACCUCUGACACUAGCGACCAGCCCGUCUGGAGCAAUAGAGAGGAGCAACCUGAAUAGGUUUACCGGUCAGGUAAAAAUAACUUGGACCUCUUACUUGAGGGCCUGCUCCAAGCUUUGGGCAUGAAUGGGCAUAGCUGCUAGUUUGAUGAAAAUAUUUGUUUUGGUGUAUUGAGACCCCCUGUCUGUGUUAAGUAAUUUUAUGUUGAGACAUUUUUUUUUUUUUCUAAUUUAUGAUUUUGAGUGUGAGGAAGCGUUAUCUGCUGACUGAAACAAGGGGGACUUUCCUGCAUUAUAUCAUUACUAGCAUCUGUGAAAAGUCAGGCAUUUGACUCGGUUGCACAUUACACAAAUCAAUGUUUUAUCUAUCUUUCGCACUUGAACAUUUCUUGUUUUACUUACACUGUCUGAAUAUUGUAAUACAGAAUUGUAUUGGAUAUUUAGAAGUUGUUUCCCACUUCCCCAGAACAUCAUCCUCUUGUUUCAAGUGCUAUUUUUCUUUUAGAUGCAUACUUUUACUUGUGAUUAAUGCGUAAGAUCUCUUGUUUGUGAAAUAAUAAACUAUCGUUAUUUUCAUAAAAACUGUUGAGUGUGGUGUGUUUAAAACGUUUUCUGUUUCUCCAUUCUACACAGACCUGGAUAAGGGUUUACUGCCAAAUGCAUCUCACUAUGAUACUGUAGUGGAGACAUCUCCACACACUCUAGUCUCCACACUACAGAAUGGUUAGCUUACCCAGUACAGUUCUGUUUUACUGUACAGGUUUAAUCAAUCUCCAGAAAGGGGCAAUGUCAGCAUGAUGGCAGCCUCACUCAAAGGAAGAAAGCUACAGCUGUAGAAGUACAAUGCCUGGGUGGAAUUGUGGGGUACUGUAUGUACUAUUGGGUUUUAUCAAAUGGGGUUGUGAUUAUUCAUAUUUUUGUAUAUAACAGUAAGUAUUAUUUAAUUUUACCC